UACGGAGGGUGCAAGCGUUAUCCGGAUUUACUGGGUUUAAAGGGCGCGCAGGCGGAUUGGUACGUCAGUGGUGAAAUACCCGUGCUUAACAUGGGAACUGCCAUUGAUACUAUCAGUCUUGAAUGUUGUUGAGGUUUGCGGAAUGGGUCAUGUAGCGGUGAAAUGCAUAGAUAUGACCCGGAACACCUAUUGCGAAGGCAGCAGGCUAAACAAAUAUUGACGCUGAGGCUCGAAAGCGUGGGGAUCAAACAGG
rnacentral:rRNA from 1 species